rnacentral:lncRNA from 1 species
AUGACACCUUUGUUAUUAGGGCCAAAGCAAAAGCAAACGUUCAUCGGAGCUCGGCGCCUCCUUGAACUUCAGCUUGCGAGCGACGCUGGCGCGCUGCUGCAGAACCGGCCUUUCGCUGGCUCCGAGACAUUUAACGCGUUCCUAACGGGGCGAGAUGUCGCUCGCAAGUGUGCAACGUGCUCGAAAAACAGCGUGUUUAUGGAUGAUGCUUGUUCUCUUGCUGGGGGCCAGCCCAAGACCGAUACGCUGUGGUUUGGACUCUUGCAGCGCUGCAGGAGGCUCAACCCAGCCCUUUGCAGAGGCGGCUCCCGACUUGCCUGUUCCCUUGCCUGGGAGGACAACGUCAUCCCUGGGGUAAACAGGCUCUUUGACACCCAAGCCGCUUGGUGCGACAGCAGCUAA